GUACUCUGGUUUUCCUUCAAACAACGUAUAAAUCUUUCGCCUUUUACUAAAGAUUUCCGUGGAGGAGAACAUUGAUGAGUGUAUGAACUAAUUUUUUGUAAUACCCACCGAAAGUUGGGUUA
rnacentral:snRNA from 1 species